rnacentral:rRNA from 1 species
UACGUAGGGAGCAAGCGUUGUCCGGAUUCAUUGGGCGUAAAGAGCUCGUAGGCGGCUUGAUAAGUCGGAUGUGAAACCUCCAGGCUCAACCUGGAGUCGCCAUCCGAUACUGUCAUGGCUAGAGUCCGGUAGGGGCCCACGGAACUCCUGGUGUAGCGGUGAAAUGCGCAGAUAUCAGGAAGAACACCGGUGGCGAAGGCGGCUCACUGGACCACAACUGACGCUGAGGCGCGAAAAGCUAGGGGAGCAAACAGG